CUUUCUCCAAGGUCUCCAUACCUCAUCAGUCUGAAUUUGAACACCAGGAGAGCAGCAGUGGGAGCAUGGAAAGUGCCAAGGGCUUCCCUGGGGGACACCAGAGGUGACACUCCUGGGGAUACGGCUUGGUUCACAUCUCUCAGCAACGGCCAUGAUGCAUCCCAGACACUAAGAUCAGAGUGUGAUGUCACCCCAGAGCUGCUCACACAGAACUCGAGCACAAAGAAAUACAGACGUCUUCACUCUGCAUCUAAUGGUGAGUAAAUGUGUCGGUGGUCAGAAGUAGAGUUAGAGUUGUAUGCCAGCUGAGAAAGGGAGAUGGUACAAGAAAAAGACUAAA
rnacentral:lncRNA from 1 species